CCUACGGGAUGCAGCAGUAGGGAAUCUUCCACAAUGGGCGAACGCCUGAUGGAGCAACGCCGCGUGGGUGAAGAAGGUCUUCGGAUCGUAAAACCCUGUUGUUAGAGAAGAACGUGCGUGCGAGUAACUGUUCACGUUUCGACGGUAUCUAACCAGAAAGCCACGGCUAACUAAGUGCCAGCCGCCGCGGUAAUACGUUGGUGGCAAGCGUUAUCCGGAUUUAUUGGGCGUAAAGGGAACGCAGGCGGGCUUUUAAGUCUGAUGUGAAAGCUUUCGGCUUAACCGGAGUAGUGCGUUGGAAACUGGGAGACGUGAGUGCAGAAGUGGAGAGUGGAACUCCAUGUGUAGCGGUGAAAUGCGUAGAUAUAUGGAAGAACACCAGUGGCGAAAGCGGCUCUCUGGUCUGUAACUGACGCUGAGGUUCGAAAGCGUGGGUAGCAAACAGGAUUAGAUACCCCUGUAGUC
rnacentral:rRNA from 1 species